UACGUAGGGUGCAAGCGUUGUCCGGAAUUAUUGGGCGUAAAGAGCUCGUAGGCGGUCUGUCGCGUCGGACGUGAAAAUCCAGGGCUCAACCCUGGACCUGCGUUCGAUACGGGCAGACUAGAGUUCGGUAGGGGAGACUGGAAUUCCUGGUGUAGCGGUGAAAUGCGCAGAUAUCAGGAGGAACACCGAUGGCGAAGGCAGGUCUCUGGGCUGACACUGACGCUCAUGCACGAAAGCGUGGGGAGCAAACAGG
rnacentral:rRNA from 1 species